UCAGAGUCAUAAUUCUUACCUUAUUUUGAAGCGCCUCUAGAUUUCUUAUCAUCCUCAUCUUCAAAUUUCUCAAUCUUGACCGGAGCAAUUCACCACUCUGAAGUUGGUGCACCUCUUUCAAACUCACUUGCUUUAUCAUAUUUCUUGUUACCAGAUGAUAGAAUUGAUGUAGAGGAACGUUAGCCCCAAGUUCUAAGGUUGAAACCAAUUGUAAUUCAUGUUUAAUUGGGGACCUGGAAUUUAGGGUUCAUAUGAGUUGAUUCUCUGAUUGGAAGUGUUAAGAAGGAAUUAAUAGAGGUUAACGUGAGAACGAAAGAAAGGGAACAAGGAUGAUUCCAUUGAUGCGAGGUUGAGGUCUAUUGAUAUGAGUUGAUUCUCUGAUUGGAAGUGUUAAGAAGGAAUUAAUAGAGGUUAACGUGAGAACGAAAGAAAGGGAACAAGGAUGAUUCCAUUGAUGCGAGGUUGAGGUCUAUUGAAGCUCAGCCGCCACUGGAGGCGAUUUCCAAUGCGGUGGAGGGAAGACUGAAAAUCAUUUUUUAGUUGGAAUAAGGGGAUGUGGAAGUGAG
rnacentral:lncRNA from 1 species